UUUAUAAUGGCCAAUGUUAUACACGCCAACACAAACUUGCGGGGGCUAACUCUUGUGCACGCGGACAUAGAUGUAUGAGAUGCAAAAGAAUUGACUUGACCAAAUUGAUAUCUAAAUGUCGAGCCACACAAUAAAGUUAAAGACAGGUAACUUUGCCCAGAAAUUGGCCAAUAUUAAUUUUUCCUAUUCUAUGGCGUUCAGAAUUCCAGCAGCUAACUUUAGCAAUCUCAAGACAGCGUGACGUUCUUUUUGAGCUCUGCAUAUAAAACAAUACGGUAAUAUAAAUUACGAGGUGAAUUCUCAGCACAAAAACAACAAUCAGGAAACAAAUAGCAUGCCUCCAUGUGCUUUUAAGAAAAAAACUUUAGUUGAAAAAGCACAUUAGACUACGUACCUUCAGAAGGAGGUUCAUCUUGAGUUUUUUUGUUGCUGCAAAAAGUAGGGUAAAUAUUUGCAUGAUUAAUAAUAAUAAAUGGGGCCAUCUUGCUUACAAUGAAGAAGAAAAACAUGCAAGGACAGUGACUUUUACAAGAGCUGAUGAGAAAAUUCACGCAUCCAGUUUAAAAUAUUUUUGCCACAUAAGAAAAACAUGCAGGGACAGUGACUUUUACAAGAGCUGAUGAGAAAAUUCACGCAUCCAGUUUAAAAUAUUUUUGCCACAUCUUUUUGUAUGCAAUCCAGAAAAUUAUAGCAUGUCAUAAUCCAGAUGAAUCUCAUGCAAAAAGUACCAUAAAUUUAGCUAUUAAAACAAGCCUACGCGUGUCCCACAGGGACGUAGUGGCAAAUUUUUAUUAACAAAGGGAUGAUGACGCCAAACAAGUAUAAGAAACUAAGGUAAUUCUACUGUCUAAUUUGGGCACUAAAGCAUUAAUAGUGGAUAAUCAAUUGUAAUCAACUUUGUCCUCGUAUGGGAGUAAGCUUAUGCUGUUUUAAGUUCAUUGUAAUGUUUAGUCGAAAUACAUUGAUUUAAAUAAAAAAGAAAUUAUGGCUCAACUAAGCCCCUUGGUUUACUUGGAUAUUUACAAAAAUUAUCCAAUUACACCGCUUUGUUACAGCCUAAUAAACAUUUAAACAGAGUUAGCCAAACAGAAUUCCACUUUAAACUCUCUUAUUCUUGGAACACGCAAAAGACAAGAUAUCAAAUUUUAUUUCCAAAUAGUUCCAAAUUACCACUAAAAGUUCAAUGCUUCCCUUGCCCAAAUCAAGUCCCAUGAAGCAGAAGCAACCGAAGGGUUCGCUUCUAUGAUUAGACACAAUUUGAGCAGCAAGCUUCGUAAUUUGGUUUUGAAUGUAUAUUAACUGUCUUGUUCAUUAUCAGUUUAACCAACAGGGAAAAGAUGUCCACCAAAAAUGCAGCAACAAGGCUAGAGAGUAAAAUUUAUACCUGUCUUUGGUUGAAGGAUCAUCCUGUGGUUUCAUGGCUGGAAAUAGUAAAACCUCCUGCUCACCAAAUAAUUAUGGAUGUUUAGAAUGAAUUUAAUCUAAAUCUCAAUCUGGUGUAUGAAAGACAUGGUAAAGAUCCCUCACACAGUCUUUAUAAGAGAGAUAAUAUCCGGAACUCAAGCAAAUCAAAGAUACACAAACAUGUUAAUCAAACAACGACAGAGACCAAAUAAGCCAGACACACUUAGCCCACGGCUAUUAUUUUGGGGGGAAAAAAAAAAGGGUUUGAAUAGUUAUUUUUUGGAAAAUGUGUGGUUAAAAAGUAGGGAAAAGUUUUGGGCUUGCUUGCAAAAUAUUUUAUUGUGUGAAUGUGUGAGUAAAAAUAAGUUAGAGAAUUAAAAAGUUAUGUUUAAGGUCAUGAACCUUUAUAUUCUGCGAAUCCGUUAACAACAUCGCAAAUCGAUCAAUACCCAAUCCCCAACCACCAGUUGGAGGUAACCCAUAUUCAAGAGCAGUACAGAAUGUUUCAUCCAGGGCCAUUGCUUCAUCAUCACCUGAUUGUCGAUCCUGAAAUCAGCAUGGAAAAUUUUCAGCAGAGCAUCAUGUGAAUUUAAAUUUAGAAACCAUUCAAUGUUACCGUGUUUAGAUAAUGAAUACCUUGAGUUGGUCAGCAAAACGCUGGCGUUGCACUACAGGAUCAUUCAUUGCACCACAGGAUCAUUCAAUUCAGUGUAUGCAUUGCAAACCUGCCAAGUUGUGAAUAUAAACGUAAAAAGGACAUGUCAGCAAGGAAAUUAGGUAGAAAGAGGAGAUAGAAGAAUGCAAAAAUAUUAUGCCAUAACAUACCUCGUGCUUGUUGAUGAACAGCUCAAAGCGUUCAGUUAGGCCUGGUUUUGAUCUAUGCCACUUUGCCAAGGGACUCAUUAUUUCUGGAUGGUUGAUAAUAAAAGUAGGGUUUAUACAAGUCUCCUCAAGAAAGUGCCCUACAAGCUGUAUGGGCAAAGAUAUUCCACCUGAUGGGGUUAAAUCUAGAUUUGAGAUGCUCACUUCAUUCUCCUUCACAAUACUAUGCAGCUCACCGUCCAAAACUUGGUUUGUUUCUUGCAAGUGUACUCCAUCGUGGUUGGACAAAUCUUUAUUCUCAUUACCACUAACCUCAAGCGAGCUAGAAAGCUCAUGAGAGAACCUUGUAUCUUCACAUUGAUCCCCAUUGUUGUCCCCAGAUUCACCUUGAUCUCUUGGUUUAUCUCCAUCUGGCAAAGGUAUUCCACCUGAUGGGGUUAAAUCCAGAUUUGAGAUGCUCACUUCAUUCUCCUUCACAAUACUAUCCAGCUCACUGUCCAAUGUUUCUUGCAAGUGUACUCCAUCGUGGUUGGACAAAUCUUUAUUCUCAUUAUCACUAACCUCAAGCGAGCUAGAAAGCUCACGAGAGAACCUUGUAUCUUCACAUUGAUCCCCAUUGUUGUCCCCAGAUUCACCUUGAUCUCUUGGUUUAUCUCCAUCUGGCAAAGAUAUUCCACCUGAUGGGGUUAAAUCUAGAUUUGAGAUGCUCACUUCAUUCUCCUUCACAAUACUAUGCAGCUCACCGUCCAAAACUUGGUUUGUUUCUUGCAAGUGUACUCCAUCGUGGUUGGUGCCAUUUUUCCGAGUUUUAGCUGAAUUUAAAAGGGUAAAAUAUAAGAAAAACAAUUAACUUCUGCAUACUAAGUAAAAAAGGCAAGGUACUGCUACUAGGUAAGUAAGUUUGGAAAAGGUUAGUACAUUCGAGAAUUGUGCCACAUCCUCCACACUUGUACAAAGGAAGCUCGGUCAACUCUGUCAGAACCCCUCGGCAUCUAGGACAUCUAACCAGUCGAACUUUUGUGCUUAUUUGAGUAGUCAUUCUCAUGCGUUAUUUGACUUCAAUUAUACUGUAGUAUAGGUCAAACAGCCACAAUCUGGUUAAAAAAUAUCGAAUAUGAAAGCUUCCAUUACGAAUGAUUUUGAUAAUUAUCUAGAUAUGUCCAUUGGAUAAAUAAUGAAUACAGUGAAAAAUAGCAAGAUGACAAGCACUACUGAUUAUAUGGCUAAAGAUAAAUAGUUUGAGCAUAUUAAGCAGAUGGGGAAUGUUAUGAUAACAAUUGAAGUUGCAUUCACAAACAGGACUAUAAGAUAGAAAAUUAAGCAGAAAGCUCUUAAAUGAUAUGUAGUGGUGCAAAGAAGGGAACGGCGGUAAAGAAGAGGCUAGCAUUUGGCUCAGAUCAGAUAAUUAUACAUCCUCUCCAUCUCAGGGAGCAUGAAAAACAUGGGGAGAAGACACAAAUACUAGGAUUAACUGAAGACCAAUUAUUGUGAAAUACCAAAACCUAAAACCUUGAAUGAUCUACCCUUAUAUAAACCUAAUAAUGGAGUAAGUAACGAGAUUAUUCCAACUUAUUCCUCUCCAACGGAUAGGGGAGUAGUAAUAGCAGAAAUUGAACAGAAAAGAUCUUGGAAUUACAGAAUUGGAGAAGGAGAAUUGAUGAUAUAAUUGAUUGUAAUAUCAACAAGACUUGAACACAAGAAUGGUAGACAACCUUAACAAUCAACUUGUAACAGAACAAUAACAAGAAAAACUUAAUUAUACUUUAUUAACUUGAAGAUAUUGAACGCAUUUCACUUUCUGAUUACUAUCAAUUAAUGUCCAUAACUCGGGUCAUGUCCAGAAUAAUCUCAAAUUCACCAUGUUUUCACAUUUACAUUGAAAUCAAACAAUUCUAUCAAAUCUUUAAGCCAUUUUCACCCAAAUAGUGAAUAGAGGAUAUGAAGUAGAAUGAAUUUUAUCAGAACCCAAUUGAGUAAACAUACAUCAGAUCAAACCGAAACACAUUAAACUGAUUUAAGAAUUGAAAGUCCAUACCUUAGUUGCAUACAACAGCAGCCAGCAAUUGGAACCCUCUACAAUUCCAUUUCUCUGGGUAUAUGUAGAGAGAGAAACUGGCAAUGUCAAGCAACCCAAUACUGCCAAGUAAUUUCCCUUCCACCAUUCAGUCUUCUUCCUGGUAUUUACAACUCUCUCUCUCUCUCUCUAAAAAAGCACAAAACAUGGAAGUCUUGUUCCGUGUUAAAGAAACUUGUAUAUCCCAAGUCUCCUCUCUCUCUCUCUCUCUCUCAAAACACACACAGACACAGUGUAAUCUUACAGACCGAUAGUGGGGUAGAGGGUGUUAAAGUCGGCGCGUCGGCUGGUUGAGGAGCGAGAGAGGGACGACGUGUUUAACCGUUCAAAGUCAUGCGAAAACACGCACUUUUCCUGUGCUAUUUUCUCUUUGAGAUGAAAUUACAUACUUACCCCUCCUCAUGUUUUCAUUGCCAAAAAUGUAUUUGUUUUUGGCAAAAACUAUUUAAUAAAAAAGAAAAAAUUGUAAGCUUGUUUGGGCGAAUUUUUGUCCUCUUUCUUGCUUCAUAACGCCUUGUAUUAAAAUAUAAAUUUUAAUUCAUUUUGGGUGAAAUAAUACUUUGUUUUUUUUUUCCCUUUAAAAUUCAAUUACACGAGUGAUUAUUCUUUAACCUAUGAUUUCACGAAAAAGGCUUCAAUAAGUUUGUGUGCUAUAAUGUCUAGAUCGGAGCAAUGCUUCAACAAUAAAUCUUUCUUCAAUUGUUUUUGUCUUGCUUCUCCAUCGUUACUUAGCUACUAGAAAUAAGGGAAUUGUCGUAUAAGAAUAUUUGAGGAAAAUAGGGAACACACGUGUUACGGAUUAACAAUAAUAGGUUGUCUCCAUAAUUUAUACAACUAAUUGAAUUGGUUUAAACUUUAAAAUAAAUAUUCACCUUUUGGAGCAGCAGAGCUUCUUAUCAUUAUUAAUUUUCGAGUAGUUAUUGCAAAAGCUUUGUACAAUUAUUAUUUAUAAUACAAAUUUAGUUUACAGGUUAGAGAACAAAUUUCUCCAAGUUGGAUGUAACCAAAUGAUAUAAAUUUUAUAUUUACGAAAUAAAUUUAUUUUUUGAUUUUAAAAUCAAAAUGGUGUUUUAAUAAAUACAAUUAACAAUAUAUUCAUUCGAGAAUAGUGUUUAUUCAAGUCAACAGUUCAUUCAAGAAAAUGUUGUCAAAUAUCUUAAUCAAAUAUAUACAUGAUCUUCAAAAUUUGAUAUUAUACGUUUCUACAUCUCACAAUAUUUUUAUUUUUUGAAUCAUAUUACAUGUAUGUCGAGGUUUCCAUCCCCUUCACAUGGAAGAGGACCUGCUUCAAAUAUAAUAUAAUUUCUUUGAAAUGGGCCCCUUAAUGUAAGGAUGAUGGACAUUCGAAUGGACACCACUUGAUGCAUAAGUAGUAUUAUCCGUAUUUUUUAUGUAAAUAAUAGAGAAUUCAAUUCAACUUGAGGCAAAGAAGAAUACUAAAAGAUCAAGGUCAAACCUAUCAAAUGGCGUUAAUAGUCGGCGUGGACUGACUGGCGUUGACUAAUGACCUUUAACUAGGUUAUGAUCGGCUCGGCGGGCCAACAAGUUAAAUGGGGAAGCCGACCAAACCAGAAAUAGUUGGAUUGGCUAAUUAUAGAUUUGUGACCUCAAUGCUUCCGUCAUCAUGACCUUUUAAUUUUGAAUUAGUGACGUAAUAAAUGAAAUGAUGUGCACGAACCAUUACGAAAAGAAAAAGUCUAUAUGUAUAUAAUUAUUGCACAUAAUGUGAUAUAACAAUCAUCCGAUUGUUGAUGUGAAAGUGUGAGAUUUGAAUUAAAGGUUGGAUCCAGUACUACGUAUAAUUGUGGACACAAUUAUGUAGAUAAUUAUGUACAUGUAGUACUUUCCUUACGAAAAGUAUUGUGAAAAUUUCCGCAAGUCAAACAUAUGAGAAUUCUAUUGUGAUGUAGACUCCAAAAUACGAAGAAUUAUUCGUGAAGUAUUUCUAGAAGGUAUCAAUAUAUAUUGAACAGAAAAUUAUUGAUCGCCCAACUUACAAGUUUGUUUUAUAUUGAUAAUUAAUAAAUUUAAUCAUCCCACUAGUAUUUUGUUUCGUUUUUAUAACUCCAUUUAUAUUUAUAUUUUAAUUGACUAAUUUUGCCUUUAAUUGUUAUCAAGAAUUGAUAAUAUUCGUGACUUGGUCAAUGAAUCUCGUGAUUUUGCUAACAAAAUAGAUCCAAUUUUUAUAUACGUCCGACCAUGAAAGACUUUUACAAAACGAGAAAAAAUUUCAUUAACAUACAAACCUGUAAGUUAAAUGGUCUCCAAAUGAAAAUUUUCCCAAAUGUUUAGAAGAGCUCAAAAUGUUAACACAAAUGAUAUCGACACGUUGGUAUUAUGUAGCAAAACCACAUCAAAGUCGUAAAGAGGUUACAAUCAAAUGAGGCGUACAUGUAAAUUUUGUUGAGUUCUGAUACAAAUCUACAAGAAUGAUUGUAAACCCUUCGAUAUUUGAUGUUUGUAAAAGAAAAAUAUUUCUAGGGAAGGAAACGAAAAGGAUUAAUUUUCUAAAAUGAUCUAGAAUUUUAGAAUUGAAUGGAAGAAAUUUAGUAGCAAUUUUGAAAAUUUUAAUGUUGCUUGGCUCAUUGCGAUGAUACAUACGUGUGAACUGCAAACGAGUGUUUAAAAUGGUUGCAACAUGCCCUUAGAGACAUCUGCACGGACAUGCACCCGUUCAUGUUGGGGUGUAAGAAGUUGGUCUAGCUUUUGCUGUCAAAACAAGAUACGUACGAGGAUCUUACGAAUUUAGCCGAACAUUGUUUACAACGAUAAUAUUGUUAAGAAUUAGUAAUAUUAAUUCUAUGCCAUGAAAAUGAAACCACAUUAAAGAAAAAUAUAUAAAAGAACACAUAAGAUUUAUAAAGAUCUAUCUUAAUGUAAAACUAAAUCCUCUUCCAUCGUUACGGCAAUUCACUAUGAUAAAAACAAGUUUGAAAGAAAAAAUUGCACACCCUCUUUCUUUGACCUCUUUAUCCUUUUUAUGAUGAUUGAAUAAACCCUAAUGACAUCUUUUUAUUUACAAGAAAAAUUAGAGCAAAACGAAAUGACAGUGUGAAAUUUAUGAAUUGUCCUUAAUAAAAUUAGAUCAAUUUGUAUAUGGACUCCACGAGCGACAAUAAUUAAAUUCCACAACUUAUGACAAAAACGAAAUUAGAAGUGUGAAAUUCCUGAAUUACUCUUAAUGAAAUUAAAUCAAUCCAUACAUGAAUUCAUCGUAGACAAUAAUUAAGUUACAAAUAUGACAUUGAUCACGUCAAUAACUCAUUAGCACCAUAAGCAUGAUACAUUCUCCUAUUUCCUUCAAAGAGCAAGCUAAUUAAUGUAAUUUUUUACAAUCAUUAUUUGAGAAAAAUUAAUAUUUUAAGUAAUGAUUUGAGGAGAAUACGUGAUUAAAAUAUAUAGAAAAUUUUUGAAUUUAAUCACAAAAUAUUUUAUUAUAUAAAUGUGUAAUUAAAAAUAAAUAUGCCAAAAAAAAAAUUUCAAAUAAUGGUUAUCAAACUAACAUUAUUGGUCUUGCAAUUGAAGAAACCUUAGUAAUCUUCACCCCUAUCCCGCAACCCAACCCAACCCACGCCACCCCACCCCACACCCACCAUAGGAUCAUCUAAACGACUUGACCUGCGGUUCUUGAACGUGAAGGAACUUGAUAUUAUUAGGCAGAAGACCUGGCCUCAUCAACAUCAAUUGACCUAUCUACCAUUUAUCAAAGGACCUCCAAGUCAACAUGGGGUUAAUUAUAUGAAUGGUCAGUAAACUUUGUCCUAUGUUACUACUUAGUCACUGAACUUGAAAAUGUAAUUCAGUGGUCACUGAACUUCGUCAAGUGUUACUACUUCAUAAUUAAACUUUAAAAUAUAUCUCAAUAGUCACCGAACUUUGCACAGUGUUAUCCAUCCAUCACUCAAAUGGAAAAAUCCGUUAAAUCCAACAAACGACGUCAAUUCGAGUGACGGAUGGAUAACACGGUAUAAAGUUCGUUAACCAUUGAGAUACAUUUUAAAGUUCGUUAUGAAGUAGUAACAUUUGACGAAGUUCAGUGACCAUUGAGUUACAUUUUUAAGUUCAGUGACUAAGUAGUAACAUAGUUGAAAAAUCAAAUCGACAUCAGUUACAUUGGCACUAUUCGAAUAUUUUUGUACUUUUAUUUAAUUUUUCUGUCAAUUUCUUUUAAUGUUCUAACUGUUUCUCUUUCAAUCUAUUUAUGCGGAGCUUAAGAUACGGUAAACUGAUAUUAGUUGAUCUAAAAAUCAAACAUACCUUUUCACCAUGAUGGAUGAAUAUUAGUAACAAUUCUAUUUUUAUUUAAUUUAUAGAUCUCUGAUUUUCUAUUUUCUCUUUUUACCCUUCAUUUUCUUUGAUUUCUUCCUUCAUAGAGGUCAAUUUGAGAAGUUUUUGAGGGAUAAAAUGAAUUUUUGAAUAGUAUAUUAAUGAAAAAUGUGUAAUUAAAAAAUACGUAAAAAUUUUGAAUUUACGUAUAAUAUUAUUUUAUUGAAGAGUGUGUGGUUGAAUGAUGUCAAAUCACUGUUUAAGAACAUUAUUAUUAUUAUUUUUGGAAAGAAUAAAACUCAAACAAGAGCUUAAUAAUUCAAUUUAAAAAUAUAUCUUAAUGGUCACUGAACUUUGCCCUAUAUUACUACUUAGUCACUGAACUUAAAAAUGUAACUCAAAGGUCACUAAAUUUCGACAACUGUUACUACUUCAUAACCAAACUUUAAAAUGUAUCUCAAUGAUCACCGAACUUUGCACCGUAUUACCCAUCCGUUACUCAAGUUGACACCGUUUGUUGGAUUUAACGAAUUCUUCCAUUUCGGUGACUAAUUGGUAACACGGUGAUACAUUUUAAAGUUCGGUUCUUAAUUACUAACACUUGACGAAGUUCAGCGACCAUUGAGUUACAUUUUUAAGUUCAGUGACUAAGUAGUAACAUAGGACAAAGUUCAAUGACCAUUCAUAUAAUUAACCCAGUCAACAUACAAUCAAUUAUCCAAGAUCAAAUCAUGCUUUUUUGAUAAAUAAAUGCAAACAGCUCCAGAAACCGUGAUUUUCUAAGAAUAUCAUCAACUUCGUCCGGUGGUGGAACAUGUUGCACAGCCAUCAUCCACUAAUAACCCAUUCUCGGAUUUUGAUAGUUCAAUUUGUGUACAGAUGUAAUUUGACUGUUUCGUCAAUAACUGUUACCAAUAUUAGCAAAAUUCAGUAAAAGAAUUGAUUUGCGUGGGCUAACUUUUGGUUCGAUAGCUAACCUAGAAAGCACCAGCAGAAGAAGAAAUGGUAAAAACACAUCCAGUUUAUAAUGGCCAAUGUUAUACACGCCAACACAAACUUGCGGGGGCUAACUCUUGUGCACGCAGACAUGGAUGUAUGAGAUGCAAAAGAAUUGACUUGACCAAAUUGAUGUCUAAAUGUCGAGCCACACAAUAAAAUAAAAGACAGGUAACUUUGCCCAGAAAUUGGCCAAUAUUAAUUUUUCCUAUUCUAUGGCGUUCAGAAUUCCAGCAGCUAACUUUAGCAAUCUCAAGACAGCGUGACGUUCUUUUUGAGCUCUGC
rnacentral:lncRNA from 1 species